GACUCGAUGGACGUGACUUUGAGCAAACUCCACGAGAUAGUGAAGAACAGGGAAGCCUGGUGUGCUGCAGUCCAUGGGGUUGCAAAGAGUCAGACGCAACGUAGUGACUGAAUACCAACAACAAUCCACUCAGAAAGAUGCUCCUGAUGACAUCGGACCCACCCCGGGAUACGCCAGCAUCGUUUCAGCAUCUCGUGGUCCUUCAGCAAAGCUGCAAAGUCUCUUCUGCCAGGCAAGAGUCUCGAGAGAUACUGUCCACGAUCCAUGAGACCCACUCAUGUUCCUGAGAACGUUUUGCUGAGAAUGAUGACUUUCGAGCCACCAGAAACUGCAUGUUGAAGAAACUUAGCGGAGGCAAUGUCACACACUGAAAUCCAGCAUCCACUCUCUCCAGGACAUCAGUGCUAAAGAAAAGUUCAAAAACUCAUCCGUUGUUGCUGUUGUUUAGUUGGCGUCUUCUCUCACAUUUAAAGCAGAGGAAUGGACAGCCUGUGCUGGUAGAAAGAUAAUGCCGACCUUCAGGUACAGUGAUAUUUUAAAGCGUGGGUAGAAUAGUUUUAGGCUCAGCUGAGCUGCGGGGUCUGGUUUUGUCGAAAUUAAUUGUCAUCAGGAGUGUGUUCUGCUAAGUGGGUAAUAGCGGUGUGUGUUGAAAAGCUGUACACGGGAAAACUUGCCGAACCUGUGUAUUAACCCAGUGUUACCUCUUGUCUGUAUCAACUCAUCUUACAGAACAACACCCCUACACCCUGGGUGUACCUGAAUCCUGAGAUAGAUAGUUCUUAAGCAAUUCGGCCACCAUGGGUGUUAUACUGAGCAACUGUGAGUCAAGGAGUCCAUGCUCUACAAUGACGAUGAGUGUGCAAACUGUCCUGAAAUGUUGCAGAAACUGAUAUCAUACUUUCCACACUGAUAUUAAACUUCCAGAGGUUCGUUCUCAGAUAAACAAGGGUAGCCUUGCGAUAUCACACUCAUCAUUGUCAACAGUUUAGCGUGGGAGUUCCCUGGUGGUCCACUGGAUAAGAAUCCACCUGCCAAUGCAGGGGACAUGGGUUCGAUCCCUGGUCUGGGGAGAUUCCAUGUGCUGUGGGGCAACUAAGCCCAUGUGCCACAACUACUCAGCCCACAUGCUACAGCUCACGAAGCCUAUGUGCCUAGAGCCCAUGUUCUGCAAACAGAGAAGCCACCCCAAUGAGAAGCCCACUCACCGCAACAGGAGAGUAGCCCCCACUCACCGCAGCUAGAGAAAGCCCGUGCAACAAUGAAAGCCUAGCACAAUGAAAAAUAAAUAUUAUAUUAAAAAAAAAAUAGAUAACCAGUAGGGACCUUCUGUGUAGCAGAGACAACUCUGCUCAGUAUGAUGCAAGAAUUUAAAUGCGGAAAGAAUUUGACAAAGAAGAGAUCCAUGUCCAUGUGUAACGAUACUGUGCUGUACAUCUGAAACUAAUACAACAUUGUUAAUCAACUACACUCCAGUGUAAAAUAAGAAGCUUAAAAAAGAGAGCGUAUUUUGCUCAACCUACAAAGCCCC